GGAGGGGCGGCGGCUUACCAUGCAAGUCGAGCGGGGGAAGGUAGCUUGCUACCGGACCUAGCGGCGGACGGGUGAGUAAUGCUUAGGAAUCUGCCUAUUAGUGGGGGACAACAUCUCGAAAGGGAUGCUAAUACCGCAUACGUCCUACGGGAGAAAGCAGGGGAUCUUCGGACCUUGCGCUAAUAGAUGAGCCUAAGUCGGAUUAGCUAGUUGGUGGGGUAAAGGCCUACCAAGGCGACGAUCUGUAGCGGGUCUGAGAGGAUGAUCCGCCACACUGGGACUGAGACACGGCCCAGACUCCUACGGGAGGCAGCAGUGGGGAAUAUUGGACAAUGGGGGGAACCCUGAUCCAGCCAUGCCGCGUGUGUGAAGAAGGCCUUAUGGUUGUAAAGCACUUUAAGCGAGGAGGAGGCUACUUUAGUUAAUACCUAGAGAUAGUGGACGUUACUCGCAGAAUAAGCACCGGCUAACUCUGUGCCAGCAGCCGCGGUAAUACAGAGGGUGCGAGCGUUAAUCGGAUUUACUGGGCGUAAAGCGUGCGUAGGCGGCUUAUUAAGUCGGAUGUGAAAUCCCCGAGCUUAACUUGGGAAUUGCAUUCGAUACUGGUGAGCUAGAGUAUGGGAGAGGAUGGUAGAAUUCCAGGUGUAGCGGUGAAAUGCGUAGAGAUCUGGAGGAAUACCGAUGGCGAAGGCAGCCAUCUGGCCUAAUACUGACGCUGAGGUACGAAAGCAUGGGGAGCAAACAGGAUUAGAUACCCUGGUAGUCCAUGCCGUAAACGAUGUCUACUAGCCGUUGGAGCCUUUGAGGCUUUAGUGGCGCAGCUAACGCGAUAAGUAGACCGCCUGGGGAGUACGGUCGCAAGACUAAAACUCAAAUGAAUUGACGGGGGCCCGCACAAGCGGUGGAGCAUGUGGUUUAAUUCGAUGCAACGCGAAGAACCUUACCUGGCCUUGACUACUAGAACUUUCCAGAGAUGGAUUGGUGCUUCGGAAUCUAGAUACAGUGCUGCAUGCUGUCGUCGCUCGGGCGGAAAUGUGGGUAAGUCCGCACGAGCCACCUUUUCUUAUUGCAGCUUUCGGAGG
rnacentral:rRNA from 1 species